rnacentral:lncRNA from 1 species
CCUUACUAAUUACAACUUUGUCAGAAACUAAUACACAUUUGAAUUUAUUUUUAGUCAGAAAUGAAGUAGAAAAUAAAUUCUUUCACAACUCCGAAACAUGAAGGACGUUGUUUAAUAUCACCACCUUACGAUUUCAUCUUUAAGUAAAUCUUACAUGUUUCUUCAAUCUUUAUAAUAGCGAAGUUAUCCAUGAAUAUCUUCUCAUUAUCCUAAGUCGGGGCAUAUAAUGCAAAUAAUUUUUUUAGAACACACGUGGUGGGUGGCACCUGAAUAAAUUCACCACUUUCUAGGAUUUUUAAUAAAAUUACAUUCCAAAAUCAUAGCACAUAGAUCGCCCAAAUCAUCUUUGGAUUCAGCCAU